AUCCUUCUGAAUCCGUACUGAAAUUUCGUCAGACACCAGACCAUCAGGACUGAUGAGACUUCUGGGGUAAGUGAAGUG
rfam:Schistosoma mansoni strain Puerto Rico chromosome 1, complete genome